rnacentral:siRNA from 1 species
UGACUGUGUUGCCAACCAAUCC